GAAGGCUGGAUCUGCUGUGAAGCAGGGGUCUGCAGAGCUGCAUUGGAUGUACCCCUCUGCUGGCUUCAUCAUGGGAGUAGUUGAGGGAGGAACUUCAAUCUGUCAAAGCUGUAAGAGGCAGGAAUUAAAUGCCUCCUGUACACAGGGCAAAAACCUGUCCUGGGCCUGAGCUGGCUGAAGGCAGCGUGGCUUUGCUGAAGUUAGCGGUAGGUCUUUGGAUCAGGCUUUGUACUGUCCUGUGUCUCAGGAAUAAAAUUAGACUAGUUUAAUGUUUGUGUAAGGUGUGCGCUUUUUUUUCCAACGCAAUACCACAGAGAAUGAGAUUUCUCCCUGUGUUUUGACAUCUCCUGUCCUUACUGAUCCCCGUUCAGGUGUGUUCUCCCUGCAUCUCCCUGGCGUGUAUUUGCCUGAGCAGGCAUGCUGACUCCUGAGCAAGUUCCAGCCUGCCCCCCAAAUUUAGGCUGGCUUAGGUGGGAGCAGAGCCUGUUAAAGAGGCUUCUGCAGAUGUCUGACUUGCUUUUCAUUUCUUCCCUUGCUAAGAGCAACAUCACCAGCUCUGGGCUCCCCCGGCAUCACUUCAGCGCAAGGACCCGUCUGACACUACUUAUGCCAGGUCCUGCCUCCCGCGCAGGAGAAGCAGUCUGCAACUUUUGCUGCUCCAGGCAGCACUUCAUCUCUGAGCAAGCAGAGCUCUGCAGAGUGGAUUUGGGGAGAACUGCACCCGGAGCAGCAACCCAAGGGUGGAAGAAGACCCCAAUGCUCUGUUGGCUGGCUGCAGUCUGCUGGGGGCUCUGGAGUGCUCCUGAAGGUGAUGUGAGAUGUCCUAUGGUGCUGCUUCCACCCUGGACCCCUUGGCAGCACAACCUGCUAGCCGAGCAGCGUUUGGCCACCUUGCUCUGGAAGGGGUUGCAAGAGAGUGCGGUGAAGUGGUAAUAUGGUGCACUAUGAUGUCUUGGAUGUAGGAUGGAGAUCAACAAGCUGGCACUCAGCGGAGGGGUAAGUAACUUCCCUGUACCUGUAUAUUUUUCUCACCUGGCACAAAAAACCUACUGCCAAUGUCUGUACACAGUACAAGUUUUUAAUUAACGUAUGAUACAGUGAUUAAGGAUAACUGAAGGCAAAACAUAAGUUUAAACAAAUCCAUGUUCAGAUCGUAGUUCCCUGGAGUCUGAGGAUGGAAGGGAUCCACUGAAGUAAUCUGACCACUAAGCAGCAAUUCAGUUACUCUAAUAACUUGCUGGGCUGAACCAGAAUGCCAGAAAGGUGAAUCACCUUGAUUUGAAGAUGAAAUAAGCCACCAUUAGCUAGGGACUGAAUUUCAGUCCCUAAUGUCCUGUUAAAUCUUCUGUUUAGUUUAAGCUGGAUCUCUGGAGUUGGCCUUCAGCCAGUGGCUGCAGCAGCAUCCAAGGCUUCUCACUGGGAAGAGGGUCCUGUGCUGUAAUCAAGUUAUAUCUGAAGGCAGCUUGGCUUGGCAAUAAGGGCACUGUCAGCGGGAUGUGCUCAAGUGCUCCCCAAGUGUCAGUAGAGCCCUGACCUCUCAACAAGAGUAAGCAGGGCUGAAACUGCAGCAAGAAUAGCUCAGCUGUUAGCUGCUGUUCCUGUGCUCCAGAGAGCUUUCAUCAGCGAGACCCAUCCUUAAUGAACUUUAGGUGUAAUCAUGGUUCUGAAGUGGUGACGGCUCACAUGGUGUAGAGGCAGCAGUUGCCCCUUGUGUGGCAGGGUGCCAGUCUGUCUUCAAAAACUGUUCAGUCAUGCUGCCAGCAUUCCUGUGGGAAGCCUUGGAUUGUUGGCUUCUAGAUAUGUGCCCUUUAAUGAGGUUGUUCAGUUUAAUUUUUCCAUUCAACUAUCAAGUCUCAACUGUCUGGGCAGUGCCCAGAAUUCCCUUGUCCCUGUAGUAGUUGUGAAUAGGUGUGUAUUUACAGCCGUUAAUCUCCCUGGGGUAUGUCAGAGGAAUACCCACCUGUGCUUGCCAAAUCUUAAGCAUUUGGCUCAAACCUCAUGUUUAGAGAGAAUUUCCAGGCCUGCCCUAACCUGUGGUGAUACCAUAAGGCCAACCCAAAGGAAUUGAUGUGCAGCGUGGAGCUGGCACAGCCACAGAUGUGCACCUGGGGAUGCUCCUCUCGAGCUAC